CGGGUGAGUAUAAUGUGGGAAUCUGCCUUUUGGUUUGGAAUAACACGAGGAAACUUGUGCUAAUACCGAAUAAGCCCUUACGGGGAAAGUUUUAAUGCCAAAAGAUGAGCCCGCACUUGAUUAGCUAGUUGGUAAGGUAAAAGCUUACCAAGGCAACGAUCAAUAGCUGUUCUUAGAGGAAGACCAGCCACAUUGGGACUGAGACACGGCCCAAACUCCUACGGGAGGCAGCAGUGGGGAAUCUUGCACAAUGGGGGCAACCCUGAUGCAGCGAUGCCGCGUGAGUGAAGAAGGCCUUUGGGUUGUAAAACUCUUUCGUCGGGGAAGAAAAUGACUGUACCCGAAUAAGAAGGUCCGGCUAACUUCGUGCCAGCAGCCACGGUAAUACGAAGGGACCUAGCGUAGUUCGGAAUUACUGGGCUUAAAGAGCUCGUAGGUGGUUAAAAAAGUUGAUGGUGAAAUCCCAAGGCUCAACCUUGGAACUGCCAUC
rnacentral:rRNA from 1 species